GGUUAAGCGACUAAGCGUACACGGUGGAUGCCCUGGCAGUCAGAGGCGAUGAAGGACGUGCUAAUCUGCGAUAAGCGUCGGUAAGGUGAUAUGAACCGUUAUAACCGGCGAUUUCCGAAUGGGGAAACCCAGUGUGAUUCGUCACACUAUCAUUAACUGAAUCCAUAGGUUAAUGAGGCGAACCGGGGAACUGAAACAUCUAAGUACCCCGAGGAAAAGAAAUCAACCGAGAUUCCCCCAGUAGCGGCGAGCGAACGGGGAGCAGCCCAGAGCCUGAAUCAGUGUGUGUGUUAGUGGAAGCGUCUGGAAAGGCGCGCGAUACAGGGUGACAGCCCCGUACACAAAAAUGCACAUGCUGUGAGCUCGAUGAGUAGGGCGGGACACGUGGUAUCCUGUCUGAAUAUGGGGGGACCAUCCUCCAAGGCUAAAUACUCCUGACUGACCGAUAGUGAACCAGUACCGUGAGGGAAAGGCGAAAAGAACCCCGGCGAGGGGAGUGAAAAAGAACCUGAAACCGUGUACGUACAAGCAGUGGGAGCCUCUUUAUGGGGUGACUGCGUACCUUUUGUAUAAUGGGUCAGCGACUUAUAUUCUGUAGCAAGGUUAACCGAAUAGGGGAGCCGAAGGGAAACCGAGUCUUAACUGGGCGUUAAGUUGCAGGGUAUAGACCCGAAACCCGGUGAUCUAGCCAUGGGCAGGUUGAAGGUUGGGUAACACUAACUGGAGGACCGAACCGACUAAUGUUGAAAAAUUAGCGGAUGACUUGUGGCUGGGGGUGAAAGGCCAAUCAAACCGGGAGAUAGCUGGUUCUCCCCGAAAGCUAUUUAGGUAGCGCCUCGUGAACUCAUCUCCGGGGGUAGAGCACUGUUUCGGCAAGGGGGUCAUCCCGACUUACCAACCCGAUGCAAACUGCGAAUACCGGAGAAUGUUAUCACGGGAGACACACGGCGGGUGCUAACGUCCGUCGUGAAGAGGGAAACAACCCAGACCGCCAGCUAAGGUCCCAAAGUCAUGGUUAAGUGGGAAACGAUGUGGGAAGGCCCAGACAGCCAGGAUGUUGGCUUAGAAGCAGCCAUCAUUUAAAGAAAGCGUAAUAGCUCACUGGUCGAGUCGGCCUGCGCGGAAGAUGUAACGGGGCUAAACCAUGCACCGAAGCUGCGGCAGCGACGCUGAUGCGUUGUUGGGUAGGGGAGCGUUCUGUAAGCCUGUGAAGGUGUGCUGUGAGGCAUGCUGGAGGUAUCAGAAGUGCGAAUGCUGACAUAAGUAACGAUAAAGCGGGUGAAAAGCCCGCUCGCCGGAAGACCAAGGGUUCCUGUCCAACGUUAAUCGGGGCAGGGUGAGUCGACCCCUAAGGCGAGGCCGAAAGGCGUAGUCGAUGGGAAACAGGUUAAUAUUCCUGUACUUGGUGUUACUGCGAAGGGGGGACGGAGAAGGCUAUGUUGGCCGGGCGACGGUUGUCCCGGUUUAAGCGUGUAGGCUGGUUUUCCAGGCAAAUCCGGAAAAUCAAGGCUGAGGCGUGAUGACGAGGCACUACGGUGCUGAAGCAACAAAUGCCCUGCUUCCAGGAAAAGCCUCUAAGCAUCAGGUAACAUCAAAUCGUACCCCAAACCGACACAGGUGGUCAGGUAGAGAAUACCAAGGCGCUUGAGAGAACUCGGGUGAAGGAACUAGGCAAAAUGGUGCCGUAACUUCGGGAGAAGGCACGCUGAUAUGUAGGUGAAGUCCCUCGCGGAUGGAGCUGAAAUCAGUCGAAGAUACCAGCUGGCUGCAACUGUUUAUUAAAAACACAGCACUGUGCAAACACGAAAGUGGACGUAUACGGUGUGACGCCUGCCCGGUGCCGGAAGGUUAAUUGAUGGGGUCAGCGCAAGCGAAGCUCUUGAUCGAAGCCCCGGUAAACGGCGGCCGUAACUAUAACGGUCCUAAGGUAGCGAAAUUCCUUGUCGGGUAAGUUCCGACCUGCACGAAUGGCGUAAUGAUGGCCAGGCUGUCUCCACCCGAGACUCAGUGAAAUUGAACUCGCUGUGAAGAUGCAGUGUACCCGCGGCAAGACGGAAAGACCCCGUGAACCUUUACUAUAGCUUGACACUGAACAUUGAGCCUUGAUGUGUAGGAUAGGUGGGAGGCUUAGAAGUGUGGACGCCAGUCUGCAUGGAGCCGACCUUGAAAUACCACCCUUUAAUGUUUGAUGUUCUAACGUUGACCCGUAAUCCGGGUUGCGGACAGUGUCUGGUGGGUAGUUUGACUGGGGCGGUCUCCUCCUAAAGAGUAACGGAGGAGCACGAAGGUUGGCUAAUCCUGGUCGGACAUCAGGAGGUUAGUGCAAUGGCAUAAGCCAGCUUGACUGCGAGCGUGACGGCGCGAGCAGGUGCGAAAGCAGGUCAUAGUGAUCCGGUGGUUCUGAAUGGAAGGGCCAUCGCUCAACGGAUAAAAGGUACUCCGGGGAUAACAGGCUGAUACCGCCCAAGAGUUCAUAUCGACGGCGGUGUUUGGCACCUCGAUGUCGGCUCAUCACAUCCUGGGGCUGAAGUAGGUCCCAAGGGUAUGGCUGUUCGCCAUUUAAAGUGGUACGCGAGCUGGGUUUAGAACGUCGUGAGACAGUUCGGUCCCUAUCUGCCGUGGGCGCUGGAGAACUGAGGGGGGCUGCUCCUAGUACGAGAGGACCGGAGUGGACGCAUCACUGGUGUUCGGGUUGUCAUGCCAAUGGCACUGCCCGGUAGCUAAAUGCGGAAGAGAUAAGUGCUGAAAGCAUCUAAGCACGAAACUUGCCCCGAGAUGAGUUCUCCCUGACUCCUUGAGAGUCCUGAAGGAACGUUGAAGACGACGACGUUGAUAGGCCGGGUGUGUAAGCGCAGCGAUGCGUUGAGCUAACCGGUACUAAUGAACCGUGAGGCUUAACCUU
rnacentral:rRNA from 1 species